AAAGUGGCUUUCUAAUUUGGUUUUCAAGGUAAUACUGAGGAUCUAUUGGUAUAUUAUUUUCCAGAACGUAUAUAGGAUCUUCUGAUCUUUCAUAAGCCUUGGCACCUUUUGCAGCUUUUAUAAUGACGUAAGGUACACGAUCCCCGACAUUUGGAGCAGUAGCAGCAUCUCUCUUGCGCAUGCGUUCAGCAAGUUCAACAUGAGCCGCCUUAACUUCGUAAUCAUCUCCAGUCUUUGUCAAACCCUUAGUA
rnacentral:misc_RNA from 1 species